rnacentral:rRNA from 1 species
UACGUAGGGCGCAAGCGUUGUCCGGAAUUAUUGGGCGUAAAGAGCUCGUAGGCGGCCUGUCGCGUCUGCUGUGAAAUCCCGGGGCUUAACCCCGGGCGUGCAGUGGAUACGGGCUGGCUGGAGGCAGGCAGGGGAGAAUGGAAUUCCCGGUGUAGCGGUGAAAUGCGCAGAUAUCAGGAGGAACACCCGUGGCGAAGGCGGCUCUCUGGGACGGUACUGACGCUGAGACGCGAAAGCGUGGGGAGCGAACAGG